rnacentral:misc_RNA from 1 species
UCCGGUUUGUCACCGGCAGUCUGGUGUGAGUCCCCAACUUAAUGCUGGCAACACACCACGGGGGUUGCGCUCGUUGCGCCACUUAAGGCAACACCUCACGGCACGAGCUGAUGACAGCCAUGCAGCACCUGUGCAGGCUCCCGAAGGAGCACCGGCUUUCACCGGCUUCACCCUGCAUGUCAAGCCCUGGUAAGGUUCUUCGCGUUGCGUCGAAUUGAGCCACAUGCUCCGCCGCUUGUGCGGGCCCCCGUCAAUUCCUUUGAGUUUUAGCCUUGCGGCCGUACUCCCCAGGCGGGGUGCUUAAUGCGUUUGCGACGGCACGGAAGGGGUUGAAGACCUCCCCACACCUAGCACCCAUCGUUUACGGCUGGGACUAC